UCAGAAAAGCCAGCUGAUCCAAAAGRAAGUCCAGUCUACUCUGAGGUGAAGACAGGGAAAGCCACAGCAGCUGGACCUGCUGAUGUGACCUAUGCUGAUGUUGAUCUCCAAAAGAAGACCAAAGCCAAGAAGAAGAGAGAAACAACAACCCCACCUGAGGCAGCUACUGUGCUGAAAUUCUCCACACAGCAGCAGGUGAAUUCAGGUAAUUUCUAUAGAUAUUUAACAAGACUUUCUGUACACUUGUAAGAGGUAAGUGAAAUUAAGCAGCAGUCUCUUUGCUAAAUGCAAUCAGUAAUCCCUUCAAAUGGAAAAGUUGUAAGUUCAAAAACAAUAGCGUCCGUCUCAGUUUUCCUCAUGUCUCGAGCAGCAUCACCCCUUCCAGUGCCUCAAAAGUUCCGUGUUCACGCGAUAGGCCCAUUUAAUUUAUGAUA